rnacentral:rRNA from 1 species
AUUGAACGCUGGCGGCAUGCCUUACACAUGCAAGUCGAACGGUAACAGGUCUUCGGAUGCUGACGAGUGGCGAACGGGUGAGUAAUACAUCGGAACGUGCCUAGUAGUGGGGGAUAACUACUCGAAAGAGUGGCUAAUACCGCAUGAGAUCUACGGAUGAAAGCAGGGGAUCGCAAGACCUUGUGCUACUAGAGCGGCCGAUGGCAGAUUAGGUAGUUGGUGGGAUAAAAGCUUACCAAGCCGACGAUCUGUAGCUGGUCUGAGAGGACGAUCAGCCACACCGGGACUGAGACACGGCCCAGUCUCCUACGGGAGGCAGCAGUGGGGAAUUUUGGACAAUGGGCGCAAGCCUGAUCCAGCAAUGCUGCGUGCAGGAUGAAGGCCUUCGGGUUGUAAACUGCUUUUGUACGGAACGAAAAGCCCCGGGUUAAUACCCUGGGGUCAUGACGGUACCGUAAGAAUAAGCACCGGCUAACUACGUGCCAGCAGCCGCCGUAA